AUUGAACGCUAGCGGGAUGCUUUACACAUGCAAGUCGAACGGCAGCGCGGACUUCGGUCUGGCGGCGAGUGGCGAACGGGUGAGUAAUGUAUCGGAACGUGCCCAGUAGCGGGGGAUAACUACGCGAAAGCGUAGCUAAUACCGCAUACGCCCUACGGGGGAAAGCAGGGGAUCGUAAGACCUUGCACUAUUGGAGCGGCCGAUAUCGGAUUAGCUAGUUGGUGAGGUAACGGCUCACCAAGGCGACGAUCCGUAGCUGGUUUGAGAGGACGACCAGCCACACUGGACUGAGACACGGCCCAGACUCCUACGGGAGGCAGCAGUGGGGAAUUUUGGACAAUGGGGGCAACCCUGAUCCAGCCAUCCCGCGUGUGCGAUGAAGGCCUUCGGGUUGUAAAGCACUUUUGGCAGGAAAGAAACGUCGCGGGCUAAUACCCCGUGGAACUGACGGUACCUGCAGAAUAAGCACCGGCUAACUACGUG
rnacentral:rRNA from 1 species